AAAGGAAUUGACGGGGGCCCGCACAAGCGGUGGAGCAUGUGGCUUAAUUCGAGGCAACGCGAAGAACCUUACCUGGAUUUGACAUGGACAGGACAGUUGUAGAAAUACGAUUUCCCGCAAGGGUCUGUUCACAGGUGCUGCAUGGCUGUCGUCAGCUCGUGCCGUGAGGUGUUCGGUUAAGUCCGGCAACGAGCGCAACCCAUGUCAUUAGUUGCCAGCAGGUAAAGCUGGGCACUCUAAUGAGACUGCCCGUGUUAAGCGGGAGGAAGGAGUGGAUGAUGUCAAGUCCGUAUGGCCUUUAUAUCCAGGGCUGCACACGUGCUACAAUGGCUGUUACAGAGGGAAGCAAUGCCGCGAGGCGGAGCUGAUCCGUAAAAGCAGUCUUAGUUCGGAUUGUAGUCUGCAACUCGACUACAUGAAGCCGGAAUCGCUAGUAAAGGCGUAUCAGCCACGACGCCUUGAAUACGUUCCCGGGCCUUGUACACACCGCCCGU
rnacentral:rRNA from 1 species